UGUGUGUGUGUGCGCGCCUA
rnacentral:piRNA from 1 species